rnacentral:rRNA from 1 species
AACACGUAGGUGAUCUGCCUCUGGUUGGGGGAUAGCCCAUGGAAACAUGGGGUAAUACCGCAUAAGGUCUGUUGCCUGAGGGCGAUGGAUGAAAGGCGCAAUUGUGCCGACUGGAGAUGAGCCUGCGGCCCAUUAGCUUGUUGGUGGGGUAAAAGCCUACCAAGGCGACGAUGGGUAACCGGCCUGAGAGGGUGCACGGUCACACUGGGACUGAGACACGGCCCAG